rnacentral:rRNA from 1 species
UACGGGGGGGGCAAGCGUUGUUCGGAAUUACUGGGCGUAAAGGGCUCGUAGGCGGCCAACUAAGUCCGACGUGAAAUCCCCAAGCUUAACUUGGGAACUGCGUCGGAUACUGGAUGGCUUGAAUUCGGGAGAGGGAUGCAGAAUUCCAGGUGUAGCGGUGAAAUGCGUAGAUAUCUGGAGGAAUACCGGUGGCGAAGGCGGCAUCCUGGACCGACAUUGACGCUGAGGAGCGAAAGCUAGGGGGGCAAACGGG